rnacentral:rRNA from 1 species
UGUUUCGGCUAGGGGGUCAUCCCGACUUACCAACCCGAUGCAAACUACGAAUACCGAAGAAUGUUAUCACGGGAGACACACGGCGGGUGCUAACGUCCGUCGUGAAGAGGGAAACAACCCAGACCGCCAGCUAAGGUCCCAAAGUCAUGGUUAAGUGGGAAACGAUGUGGGAAGGCACAGACAGCCAGGAUGUUGGCUUAGAAGCAGCCAUCAUUUAAAGAAAGCGUAAUAGCUCACUGGUCGAGUCGGCCUGCGCGGAAGAUGUAACGGGGCUAAACCAUGCACCGAAGCUGCGGCAGCGACACUAUGUGUUGUUGGGUAGGGGAGCGUUCUGUAAGCCUGCGAAGGUGUGCUGUGAGGCAUGCUGGAGGUAUCAGAAGUGCGAAUGCUGACAUAAGUAACGAUAAAGCGGGUGAAAAGCCCGCUCGCCGGAAGACCAAGGGUUCCUGUCCAACGUUAAUCGGGGCAGGGUGAGUCGACCCCUAAGGCGAGGCCGAAAGGCGUAGUCGAUGGGAAACAGGUUAAUAUUCCUGUACUUGGUGUUACUGCGAAGGGGGGACGGAGAAGGCUAUGUUAGCCGGGCGACGGUUGUCCCGGUUUAAGCAUGUAGGCUGAUUGUCCAGGCAAAUCCGGAUAAUCAAGGCUGAGGUGUGAUGACGAGGCACUACGGUGCUGAAGUAACAAAUGCCCUGCUUCCAGGAAAAGCCUCUAAGCAUCAGGUAACAUUAAAUCGUACCCCAAACCGACACAGGUGGUCAGGUAGAGAAUACCAAGGCGCUUGAGAGAACUCGGGUGAAGGAACUAGGCAAAAUGGUGCCGUAACUUCGGGAGAAGGCACGCUGGUGUGUAGGUGAAGUCCCUGCGGAUGGAGCUGAGACCAGUCGAAGAUACCAGCUGGCUGCAACUGUUUAUUAAAAACACAGCACUGUGCAAACACGAAAGUGGACGUAUACGGUGUGACGCCUGCCCGGUGCCGGAAGGUUAAUUGAUGGGGUUAUCCGUAAGGAGAAGCUCUUGAUCGAAGCCCCGGUAAACGGCGGCCGUAACUAUAACGGUCCUAAGGUAGCGAAAUUCCUUGUCGGGUAAGUUCCGACCUGCACGAAUGGCGUAAUGAUGGCCAGGCUGUCUCCACCCGAGACUCAGUGAAAUUGAACUCGCUGUGAAGAUGCAGUGUACCCGCGGCAAGACGGAAAGACCCCGUGAACCUUUACUAUAGCUUGACACUGAACAUUGAGCCUUGAUGUGUAGGAUAGGUGGGAGGCUUUGAAGCGUGGACGCCAGUCUGCGUGGAGCCAACCUUGAAAUACCACCCUUUAAUGUUUGAUGUUCUAACGUUGGCCCCUGACCGGGGUUGCGGACAGUGUCUGGUGGGUAGUUUGACUGGGGCGGUCUCCUCCCAAAGCGUAACGGAGGAGCACGAAGGUUAGCUAAUCCUGGUCGGACAUCAGGAGGUUAGUGCAAUGGCAUAAGCUAGCUUGACUGCGAGCGUGACGGCGCGAGCAGGUGCGAAAGCAGGUCAUAGUGAUCCGGUGGUUCUGAAUGGAAGGGCCAUCGCUCAACGGAUAAAAGGUACUCCGGGGAUAACAGGCUGAUACCGCCCAAGAGUUCAUAUCGACGGCGGUGUUUGGCACCUCGAUGUCGGCUCAUCACAUCCUGGGGCUGAAGUAGGUCCCAAGGGUAUGGCUGUUCGCCAUUUAAAGUGGUACGCGAGCUGGGUUUAGAACGUCGUGAGACAGUUCGGUCCCUAUCUGCCGUGGGCGCUGGAGAAUUGAGGGGGGCUGCUCCUAGUACGAGAGGACCGGAGUGGACGCAUCACUGGUGUUCGGGUUGUCAUGCCAAUGGCACUGCCCGGUAGCUAAAUGCGGAAGAGAUAAGUGCUGAAAGCAUCUAAGCACGAAACUUGCCCCG